CAUUUUGAAAGUUUUGGUCUACUCUUUCAAGCAUGUUGACCAGUUGGUAAUAUUGGCAGUUUCUGUUCGGAUGUUAUUCCAGGACGCAUUAUCAACGCAUCAAAAUGACCCGAGGAGGGACCAAGGAGGUUUAAAAAAUGUGAGAUAUUUGCCGGCUACACCAACAAACUGGUCGCUAACGGUGGCUGUUCGCUCUGGCAGCAGGGCAAGAGAGAGGAGGCUGGCUAAAGGCACCAUUAAGGAGGCUUCAGACCCGGCUGUCGAAUAUCCUCCAUCCGCUAUAACAGAG
rnacentral:lncRNA from 1 species